rnacentral:rRNA from 1 species
UACGUAGGGAGCGAGCGUUGUCCGGAUUUAUUGGGCGUAAAGAGCGCGUAGGCGGCUCGGUAAGCCGGAUGUGAAACCUCCAGCUCAACUUGGAGCGGCCAUUCGGAACUGCUGUGGCUAGAGUCUGGUAGGGGAACACGGAAUUCCUGGUGUAGCGGUGAAAUGCUUAGAUAUCAGGAGGAACACCAGUGGCGAAAGGCGGC